rnacentral:lncRNA from 1 species
UCACUCAUCAAAGUAGUACUUUAGUCCUAACAUGCUUAACUCUCUUAAUAUUUCUGGCCUAAACAGCAUCCAAAAUGUUAUAAUUGGAUUAAGAAACUUAGUUCUAUUAUAUCUCAUACAUUGAAUUUUUUCAAAUUCUGAGUUCGCACACAUAUCUCACUACAUUUCUCUCUCUCUCAAAAAAAAAAAAAAAAAAAAAAAGGAAAAAGGUUUUCAAAUCACAGGACCAAACAAAAUGUACAUAAUUAGGCCAAAUCCCAUUACCAUGAUUGAAAUUUCUCCCAAAACUUAUUCACUCCUACAGUUAUACAUCACAAGCAUUAAAUUGACCUAUGGACUUAAAUAUAGGACCUAAUUAUCUGCAUAAGUAAUUUUAUUAUUUUUUGGAGCUUUUACUUAUUUAUUCCUAACUACUAUUCAAAAUUUUUAAAUUUAUUUAUAAAUUAUUAAAACAUCCUUCUAAACCCAAAUCCUAUUAGAAAUUUGGGAAUAUUUAAAGAAAUUUAUAAAAAUCAAGAAGGAUAUUUUGGUCAAUUAGAAAUAUAUUAAAUAUUUUUAAAGAUUUAGAUGGUAUAUUAGAUAUU